AUAAAGAAUUGGUUUUGGAGUUUGGUUACAUUGUAUAUAACCUGUAGAAAACUUAUUUAUCCUCAUUUUUACAGAGAUGUUGUUUACCAAGCCCGGUAAUUUGAAAACAACUCGGGUAACUAAUCGAUCCUUUGAAUAAAUUUAUUCUAAAAGGUUACCAAUUCAACACUGUAAUGAGAUCUUUGAAUAUUGUUUUUAUUGGUAUCAAUAUUGAUGUUGUUAUCAGUAAAUUAAGAUCAAACUAAAUAUUAUUUUUAUAUACAUAUGCACAUUAAUAGCUCUACAAUCUAUCGAUAUCUGUAUCUUGUCAUUG
rnacentral:lncRNA from 1 species